UCUAGACGAAGCUAUGCUUUUUUGUCCUACCCUUGUACAAUUUGGUUUUAUUUGGUCCUGCAUGAAGAACCACAUAACUACUGUGAUUGCAAAUUUUUUUCUCCCCUCCCCACGCCUGGGACAGGGUCUGGCUGUUCCAGGCUGGAAUUGAAUUUACUAUGUAAUCUAGGCUGGCCUCAAACUCACAGCAGUCCUGUUUCAGCCUCCCAAGUGCUUGGAUUAUAUGUGUGCACCACUGUACCCAGUUGUGCUCUUUUUAAAUCAGGUUCUGUAUUUAAAAGCAUUCACAGAUAUUCAUAGCCUUGCUUAAUCUGCAGAUUUUGCAAGCAUUCUUUUUCCAUCUUGGUCUUGAUCACUGGCAGAAAUGAGAGGGGAGGGCUUUAGAUUCAUCAAGCCAAGAACUAAAGUGCAUUUCUCUCCUUGUUACAGGGCCAGAGCCCACCCCACUAAGUCACUACAAAGCAGAGAGCAAGGAGCACACAUUGCCAUGGGCAGAUAAACUUCAAAAGAGAGGGCAGAGGGCUAGGCAGUGUGUGCUGUUCCUUCUGGAAUGAACCAGUCAAGGAACUUAACUCAUCUUCCAGCUUAUCGGAUCACUCACUCUGGGAGACACUGGUCACCACCUUGUGAGGAUGCUCAAGAAUCUCCCUGGAGAGAUGGUAGUGGGAAGCUGCAGGCUGUGAGUGUCAACUGUCCUGUGAGUGAUGCCCUUCCAGCGUGGACUCUCCAGCUCUAGUCACACCUUCGAUCUUAGGAAAUAUAUUGACUUUGAUAUUGUCAUGGUUUAUGUCUGUGGCCCCCAGGCCUCAUGAGUUUGCAUUGUGCAUUUGUGAUUGGUUCAUUGUUUAAUGCUUGGGUUGAUGGUGUCAGGGCUCCACCCACAUAGGGGUGGAGCCAGGAUGUGAUGUAAUGGCAGGAAGAAGGUGUGUCUUGCACUUUGCUGGUUCCUGCUUGCUGUUUGUAGCCGCCAUGAACUGCGGCCCAGCCAUGCCCGCCUGUCUUGGAGCCAACUAAGUGUGGACUGAAAUCUCCAAAAACUGUAAGAAAGAAAUAAACCUUUCCUUUCCCAA